rnacentral:lncRNA from 1 species
GGUAACCUGUUCAGUAUGCUUCUGUGUGAUGCUUGUUUUUUUUUUUUUUUGCUGUUUGCAAUCUUGUUGCUGUUGGCUGUUUGGGUCUGCCCUGAUUGUAAGACACCCAUGGCAAAGUCUGCAGCUUCACACCUGGAUGAAGUCAGCGAGACGGUGAGUCCACCAGGAGGAGUGAACAACUCCAGACCCGCCACCUUUAUAGAGCUGUAACACUCAUCGCGGAGCUCUGCAGCUUCACUCCUGAAGCCAACGAAACCACGAACCCACCAGGAGGAACGAACAGGUCUGGACGUGCCAUUUUUAAGAGCUAUAACGCUCACUGUGCAGGUCUGCAGCUUCACUUCUGAAACCAGCGAGACCACGAACCCACCAGGAGGAAUGAGCAACUUUGGUUGCGCUACCUUUAAGAGCCGGAACACUGACUGCGAAGGUUUGUGGCUUCACCCCUGAAGUCAGCGAGACCACGAACCCACCACAAGGAAGAAACUCCGAACACAUCUGAACAUCUGAAGGAACAAAUUCCGGACAUGCCAUCUUUAGGAACUGUAACACUCACCGCGAGGGUCUGUGGCUUCAUUCUGGAAGGUAGCGAGACCAAGAACCCACUGGAAGGAGCAAAUUCCAGACCCAAUAUUAUUGUAGAAUUCUCUCCAGAGUGUGGGUGUGGUGGCUCAGGCCUGUAAUCUCAGAGCACUUUGGGAAGUCAAGUUGGAAGGAUUGCUUAAGGCCAGGAGUUUGAGUCCAGUCUGGGCAACAUAGUGAGACCCUGUCUCUGCAAAAAAUUAAAAAAUCCAGAUGUGGUAA